AGUUUGAUCCUGGCUCAGGAUGAACGCUAGCGAUAGGCUUAACACAUGCAAGUCGAGGGGCAGCGCAAAGAUUAGCUUGCUAAUUUUGGCGGCGACCGGCGGAUGGGUGAGUAACACGUAUGCAACCUACCUUUAACACGGGCAUAACCCGGAGAAAUCCGGACUAAUUCCCGAUAAUACAGGGGCUCCGCAUGGAGAUAUUUGUUAAAGAUUUAUUGGUUAAAGAUGGGCAUGCGCUCCAUUAGUUAGUUGGUGAGGUAACGGCUCACCAAGGCAUCGAUGGAUAGGGGAACUGAGAGGUUUAUCCCCCACACUGGGACUGAGACACGGCCCAGACUCCUACGGGAGGCAGCAGUGAGGAAUAUUGGUCAAUGAGGGCAACCUUGAACCAGCCAAGUCGCGUGAAGGAUGACUGUCCUAAGGAUUGUAAACUUCUUUUAUAUGGGAAUAAUUGUAGCCACGUGUGGUUAUUUGCAUGUACCAUAUGAAUAAGGAUCGGCUAACUCCGUGCCAGCAGCCGCGGUAAUACGGAGGAUCCAAGCGUUAUCCGGAUUUAUUGGGUUUAAAGGGUGCGCAGGCGGGAGAUUAAGUCGGUGGUGAAAUUUUGCGGCUCAACCGUAAGAGUGCCAUCGAAACUGGUUUUCUUGAGUGUAGAUGAAGUAGGCGGAAUUUGUGGUGUAGCGGUGAAAUGCAUAGAUAUCACGAGGAGCUCCGAUUGCGCAGGCAGCUUACUAAACUACUACUGACGCUCAUGCACGAAGGCGUGGGGAUCAAACAGGAUUAGAUACCCUGGUAGUCCACGCAGUAAACGAUGAUUACUAGUUGUUUGCGAUACACAGUAAGCGACUGAGCGAAAGCAUUAAGUAAUCCACCUGGGGAGUACGUUCGCAAGAAUGAAACUCAAAGGAAUUGACGGGGGCCCGCACAAGCGGAGGAACAUGUGGUUUAAUUCGAUGAUACGCGAGGAACCUUACCUGGGCUUGAAAUGCAUUUGACCGGCACAGAGACGUGCCUUCUCUUCGGAGCAGAUGUGUAGGUGCUGCAUGGUUGUCGUCAGCUCGUGCCGUGAGGUGUCGGCUUAAGUGCCAUAACGAGCGCAACCCUUAUCGUUAGUUGCUAACAGGUCAUGCUGAGGACUCUAGCGAGACUGCCAUCGUAAGAUGUGAGGAAGGUGG
rnacentral:rRNA from 1 species